rnacentral:rRNA from 1 species
CCUACGGGCGGCAGCAGUGAGGAAUAUUGGUCAAUGGACGAGAGUCUGAACCAGCCAAGUAGCGUGAAGGAUGACUGCCCUAUGGGUUGUAAACUUCUUUUAUAUGGGAAUAAAAUGUUCCACGUGUGGGAUUUUGUAUGUACCAUAUGAAUAAGGAUCGGCUAACUCCGUGCCAGCAGCCGCGGUAAUACGGAGGAUCCGAGCGUUAUCCGGAUUUAUUGGGUUUAAAGGGAGCGUAGGUGGAUUGUUAAGUCAGUUGUGAAAGUUUGCGGCUCAACCGUAAAAUUGUAGUUGAAACUGGCAGUCUUGAGUACAGUAGAGGUGGGCGGAAUUCGUGGUGUAGCGGUGAAAUGCUUAGAUAUCACGAAGAACUCCGAUUGCGAAGGCAGUUCACUGGACUGCAACUGACACUGAGGCUCGAAAGUGUGGGUAUCAAACAGGAUUAGAUACCCGUGUAGUC